GUCCCAUCGAGUGCUGUCUCCUGCCUGGGGCUGUGCCUGAAGGUGGUGACAGAUCCCUGCUGCCUGGGGCUCGUGUUCGUCCUUCCCCUUUGGAGAAAGGCAGCUCUGCUGAACGCUGCUCUCCAUCCUGCACUUCUACCCGUGUUGCCACCAGGAGUAAUCACACCUGUGUUCAUGUGGAUCCAUCUGCUGCUUCAUCCGUCGUGCUUCGACCAUGGGAAGUCCCAGAUGCGCUCAUGGACGAGUGGGAAGAAAUCUUUGCGAGGCAGUUGUUUGGACAGUCUCUGAUCCAGCUUUAGAAACCCUGGCACGUUCAUAAUGUUUAACUAUAUAAAAGGCAUGAGUGCAUGUGGGCACUAUAAAUCCAGCAGUGCAGAUGCAGCCUGGAAAGAGAUUGUAAAAAAGCCCAACAAUGCAGCUGGUUCCCUCCUCAAGCACAGUGCACCAAUUAAAUACUGGAGGUGGUUACAGAACGGGUUUGAAACAACAUCAUGAGAAAAAUUACUACCUCAAGAAGCGUAAGAA